UGUAGUUUUCUUUGCUUUGUUUUAGGUCCUAGCUUCUGUAGCUGAGUGUCAGCCUUGAACUUGGCCCAAGAUAAUACAGCCUCUACGAUACCAAUCUUUGUGACCUGAAAAAAAUGUCGAAUGUUUAAAAACAGCAGUAGGGUAUCCAUGAGCUGUUUGACUACUGCAUCUGUGACAUGAUCCACAUGCCUACCGCCCUGUUAACAAAGGUUUGUUAGACGAUUUGGAAGAAUGUACAGAACAUAAUACAGUAAUAAUUUUA